GCCGGGCACGGUGGCACGUGCCUGUAGUCCCAGCUACUUGGGUGGCUGAGGCAGGAGAAUCGCUUGAACCCGGGGAGCGGAGGUUGCAGUGAGCUGAGACCACGCCACUGCACUCUAGCCUGGGUAACAAAGCGAGACUCCGCCUCAA
rfam:Gorilla gorilla gorilla genomic chromosome, chr16, whole genome shotgun sequence